GGUGCAUGGUUGUCGUCAGCUCGUGUCGUGAGAUGUUGGGUUAAGUCCCGCAACGAGCGCAACCCUCGACCUUAGUUGCCAGCAUUCAGUUGGGCACUCUAAGGUGACUGCCGGCUAAAAGUCGGAGGAAGGUGGGGAUGACGUCAAAUCAUCAUGCCCCUUAUGACCUGGGCUACACACGUGCUACAAUGGGCGGUACAAAGGGCCGCGAACCCGCGAGGGGGAGCCAAUCCCAAAAAGCCGCUCUCAGUUCGGAUUGCAGGCUGCAACUCGCCUGCAUGAAGCCGGAAUCGCUAGUAAUCGCGGAUCAGCAUGCCGCGGUGAAUACGUUCCCGGGCCUU
rnacentral:rRNA from 1 species